rnacentral:lncRNA from 1 species
GUAAGAAUAGGAAAUAUGAAAUACACAAAUAAAGUAAAUAAAUAAAUAAUCAUGCUAUAUACAGGGUCAGUACCAUAUUAACAACGUGCAGAGAUACUGGAGUGAUGGAGGUAGAUAUGUAUAGGGGGAAGGGGACAGGGAUACUGGAGUGAUGGAGGUAGAUAUGUAUAGGGGACAGGGAUACUGGAGUGAUGGAGGUAGAUGUGUAUAGGGGACAGGGAUACUGGAGUGAUGGAGGUAGAUAUGUAUAGGGGGAAGGAGACAGGGAUACUGGAGUGAUGGAGGUAGAUAUGUAUAGGGGACAGGGAUACUGGAGUGAUGGAGGUAGAUAUGUAUAGGGGGAAGGGGACAGGGAUACUGGAGUGAUGGAGGUAGAUGUGUAUAGGGGGAAGGGGACAGGGAUACUGGAGUGAUGGAGGUAGAUAUGUAUAGGGGACAGGGAUACUGGAGUG